rnacentral:rRNA from 1 species
UAGGGAAUCUUCGGCAAUGGACGAAAGUCUGACCGAGCAACGCCGCGUGCGUGAAGAAGGUUUUCGGAUCGUAAAACUCUGUUGUUAGAGACGAACAAGGACUUUAGUAACUGAACGUCCCCUGACGGUAUCUAACCAGAAAGCCACGGCUAACUACGUGCCAGCAGCCGCGGUAAUACGUAGGUGGCAAGCGUUGUCCGGAUUUAUUGGGCGUAAAGCGAGCGCAGUCGGUUUCUUAAGUCUGAUGUGAAAGCCCCCGGCUCAACCGGGGAGGGUCAUUUGGAACUGGGAGACUUGAGUGCAGAAGAGGAGAGUGGAAUUCCAUGUGUAGCGGUGAAAUGCGUAGAUAUAUGGAGGAGCACCAGUGGCGAAGGCGGCUCUCUGGUCUGUAACUGACGCUGAGGCUCGAAAGCGUGGGGAGCAAACAGG